UCAAAAGUUCAGGCUUCACUGAGCAAAGAGAAAGCCGAAAUGGGCCACUUUUCCCCGACCGAAACAACCUCCGAUCUGUUGCGGAUCAUCCAAGUGUUUGGUACGAGGAGAAAGCUAAUGAAAUGCCCUGUCCAAUCACGUAGGUCAAAUGGCGAUAUUAUUUUGUAGUUCUUUUAAAAGAGCCAAUCAAAAGAGUAAACCAAACCCUCUUGUUGCUAUGCUUGUCAAGAUCAAGCUCCGUGAUUGGUCAAACGCCCACCGCGUGCUCUACGGGCAUGCGCAGUUCUCUCACUUACAUCCGCAACAAACCAAGCAUGGUUAGUGUUAUUGCAAGUUUGAUUAAUGUUUCGUCUCGUAAAUAGCCGUAUUUACUCCUCAUUUUUGGACAACAAUGACAAGGACAAAGGCGACUGGCAGUCUGAUGAUGACUGGGAUGCCUUUGAUGAUGAAAAAGACGAUCGAGUGCACGAACUGGGAACAGAUUCAGCAGUGGAGAAGACCAAUGCGAUUUUUACCGCGGACGUAUCUCCCAAUUCUGGCUAUGAAAAGACCAAUAAUCUUUGCAUCAGCAAGGAAAGACUAACAGGCUUACUGAAAUGGUACUCCAAUGGGACAGGACAGGAGGGAGAAAGAGAUCCCUUCAGCUGGACAACAUCAAAGGAGAGGUGACAUUCAUCCAACAACAAGGUUCACAAAAUGCCCUAGUGCUCACUGGACAUGUCCCUGGAUUUAAACGUGAUGAUCUACAGCCCCUGCCUUCAGUUCACACUGCCACCAAGGUCAACCAAAGCUACAAAGAUGUUCUUCUUGGGACAGAGAAGAACUACUGGACCAUCAAGCACCAACAAGAGUGGAGACUUGAAGAAAGCGACGCAUAUCUGAAUCUUACACUGACUCUGAGAGUGCCCAUAGACAGGUUGUGGGCGUGGAGAUGAACUUUUAAAUCUGUAAAUAUGUGGCAAGUACACAAGAGAAUACGUGAGUAAUGUGUGUGUGUGUGUGUGUGUGUGUGUGUGUGUGUGUGUGUGUGUGCGCGCGCGUGCAUGUGUGUAUGUGUUUAUGCUAAAUGCAUUUAAUUUAAUGCUAUAUUGACCUAAAUGUUCAUGUCCUUGAUGCACUGUAUGUUGUGUUUUUUUAAGCUUUGGCAGCAUUGAUACUUCCAAGCAUGCCAAUAAAGCACAUUUGAAUUUGAA